rnacentral:lncRNA from 1 species
UACUAUUGUAGCAUAUCUUUGUGGUGCAUCUAAUAAAAACAUUCCCUGAAAUAAACAAACAUUGUCACUGCCAGAAUUUGUGCCAGGCACAGCUUUUUUAUCAAUUAUUUAAAAAAGAUAAAAAAUCUCAACCUACAGAAUAUACAGUAUAGUGUAUCUCAAAGAAACAAUAUACUGAUUUAAACUGUAACCAGGAUCAUUCUGUCGCAUUACAACGUCCAGCACAGUGUUCUACAAUUCCAUCAGAGACAGACAGUGCAGCUGCCCUGGCCUGGGCUCAGAGAAUAUUGGACUGAAUAGGAGGAAGGUGUGGGAGAGAUACACUGUGCUUUCACUCUCCUUCCUCUCCUCCCCCAGGAUGGAGGCGUCUGUGUGGAAGCAGAGACUGUACAAUAUUGCCAGGGUUCUCCCCUGGAAUGUGAAAACAGUAUCAUACCGCACUGCUCCACUAAGAACAUGACUCCCCUGGGUCUUCGUCUGGUAUGUAUU